ensembl:snoRNA F47G4.9 ncRNA
CGCCUCAAUGAAGAGAAACACCGAUCCAUCGUGUGACAAAUUGCUGAUAGAUUGUACGUCAGUCGUAGAGGU